UGAAGACCAGAAGAGCAAAGAAGA
rnacentral:miRNA from 1 species